UACGGGGGGAGCAAGCGUUGUUCGGAUUUACUGGGCGUAAAGGGCGCGUAGGCGGUCAGCACAAGUCAGUUGUGAAAUCUCCGAGCUUAACUCGGAAAGGUCAACUGAUACUGUGCGACUAGAGUGCGGAAGGGGCAACUGGAAUUCUUGGUGUAGCGGUGAAAUGCGUAGAUAUCAAGAGGAACACCUGCGGCGAAGGCGGGUUGCUGGGCCGACACUGACGCUGAGGUGCGAAAGCGUGGGGAGCAAACAGG
rnacentral:rRNA from 1 species